UACGAAGGUCCCAAGCGUUAUCCGGAUUUAUUGGGUUUAAAGGGUGCGUAGGCGGACUAUUAAGUCAGUGGUGAAAGCCCCAAGCUUAACUUGGGAACUGCCAUUGAUACUGAUGGUCUUGAGUACAUUUGAGGUGGGCGGAAUGUGUCAUGUAGCGGUGAAAUGCUUGGAUAUGACACAGAACACCGAUUGCGAAGGCAGCUCACUAAACUGUAACUGACGCUGAGGCACGAAAGCGUGGGGAGCAAACAGG
rnacentral:rRNA from 1 species